GGGUGUGCGGGGGUGUGUUGGAGAGACAGAGACAGAGAGAGAGAAGCAGAAUUCGAGUACUAAAGUAUAAGCUUGCCCAUUAGGCAAUGGCCAACAAAACUAUAAUCAGCUAGCAUUUUAACAGCACAAUCCAUAUAUAUUCAACAUCGAUAUACAUUGGUAAAAUGAAAAUUAGCAAGAAAAAAAGAAACAUAGAUCAGUCAUAAUCUGCCAAAGAUCACUUGCAAUCGAAUAGUUCCAACAGCAACCUUUCUCAACCUCCAAAGUGGCAUUCAUAUGAAAAUGAAGGUGAAAAAAAAAUCCUUUUUCUGUCAUUCCAAUAUGAAAAAUAAACAAGCAGAAUGGAAAGAAUAAUCAAUUAAAGAAACCAAAUAGAAUAAAAGAUGAACAUUCUUGACUGCAAACUUUAUUCUUACAAUCAAUUCCUUAAAGAGCUCAUCUCCACUUAAAAAAUUGUAAGAAAAUUCAUUAAAAAGAUAAUUUGGGAGGUACCUGAGCGACAGCAUUGAGAUUAAGACGACCAAGCUUGAAAUCCAUGCCUGAAAUCCUUCUCCUUGUCUACAAUCAAGCCCUAUAAAGAUUUCCGCAUCCACUGAGUUCCCUUCUAGCCGUUACCAGAACUUGGAAAACCGUGCCCUAAUGUUAAUCUCUUCCCAAUGAUAUCAACCCUGAUUUUAAUCUCGAGGCUCAAAAUCAAAGGAAGAACCCUAGCAAGAUCGAGGCCAGAAGCAAUGCACGAAAUAUAACGACGGAUCCGCGUGGAUGCAAAAAGAGAGAGAGGAAACCGAUCAACAAUCCCCGUCAGCCGGAAACUCGCGGAAAAAAUAAUAAUAAUAAUAAUCAAAAUACGAAGAGAUCGCUUGCGGAGGUCUCACCUGCGCACCCUCAAAGCGGCGUCGAUGUCUUGCGGAGGGAGGAGGCCGGGAUCGACUCGUGACUCGAGAUCAAGACUUGUAAGGGCCCGUUGGGGUCCCCGGGACCCACACCGAUGUAGUCCUACGCGAUUGGUCGCGUCAAUCUUUGCCGGAUGUUGAGUAUAUCUCGAUCAAAACGAAAAUAUUUUUAGCCAUAUAAAGCAGCAU
rnacentral:lncRNA from 1 species